CAGCGGGUCAGAAGCCCCCAGAGAGUGGAGCAUCAGCUUCAGCAAGGAGCCACACAUACAGCCUGCUAAGUCAGAUCAUUUAGGUGGAGUGCAUAAAAGAGAGGGCUCUGUAGUGCAGGAAGUGACGGGCUUUCACCUCAUGACACCUGAGACCCACAAUGCACCACGCCGCACAUCUGUCCAUAGCACUACUCAGCAUAUGACUGAACGCCCCAAAGUGACCUGGAGCCAGUCAGACUUAACACCGCUGGAUCUUCAGGCCCCUGAGUCUUUGGAGUUCUGGACGGAUGAGAUUUACACGCCAGCCUCCGACACGCUCCUGCGGCGUUCGCAUUCGUACAC